ensembl:rRNA 5S_rRNA 5S ribosomal RNA
GUCUACGGCCAUACCACCCUGAACGCGCCCCAUCUCGUCUGAUCUCGGAAGCUAAGCAGGGUCGGGCCUGGUUAGUACUUGGAUGGGAGACAUAUAUUUACUAACAUGGCAAGCAGGUUGUAAGCA